rnacentral:pre_miRNA from 1 species
GAAAUCUUUCUCCGUUCAACAAAAAAUGUCUUAGGUUUGUCAAUAUUUGAAUGUAUCUAGACGUGACUUAGUGAAUAGAUGCAUUCAAAUUUAAUCAAAAUUGAGACAUCUUUUUGUUGGAUGGAGAAAGUAGUUG